rnacentral:rRNA from 1 species
GUGUCAGCAGCCGCGGUAAUACGUAGGGUGCGAGCGUUGUCCGGAAUUAUUGGGCGUAAAGAGCUCGUAGGCGGUUUGUCGCGUCGGCUGUGAAAACUGGAGGCUUAACCUUCAGCGUGCAGUCGAUACGGGCAGACUUGAGUUCGGUAGGGGAGUCUGGAAUUCCUGGUGUAGCGGUGAAAUGCGCAGAUAUCAGGAGGAACACCGGUGGCGAAGGCGGGACUCUGGGCCGAUACUGACGCUGAGGAGCGAAAGCGUGGGGAGCGAACAGGAUUAGAUACCCGCGUAGUCC